AGUCAAAGCUCUCAAUACCAUAAGGAGCAGCAGCCUCGGCAAGAGCAGCCAGUGACAAGGCGGUAAUAGUCCUAACCUUCUGGUUUUCAUCACUGAGACCAUGUUCGAUGAUCUCUACUAGAGACCUUAAGUGAGGCAGGACGGCACAGCCAAUUAGUAUGGCAAUCUGCUGAACAAUCUUAAUUCCAGUGUGCCGUGCCUGCCAUGACUUCUUACUCUGGCAAACGGCUUUCAGGAACGGCAAGAGUGCAGGGAUCCCAAGAGCUGAAGCCACCACACUGAACGCUCUUGCUGUUGUGUUCCUCACAUAUUCAUCCAUGUUGUCAAUAUCAGGCCGCAUAGCUGCAAUCAUAGUGGCUAAACCAGCUGCUUGCUAAGGUUAGAAAUAAUUUCUCUACCUUCUACACGAGCAUAAUAAUCUUCAUCAAUCAACAGAGGCUCAAUAACAACAAGAACCUUGUGGACGAAAGGCCUUACCAGCUCAUCAAGUUUGUACAGAAUCCUAUCGAUUACUUUCACCAAAAGAUGCCUCUCUUGAUCUUCCAGAGUGGGUUGCAUGAGCAAUGGCAAAAUUUUAUUAAACAAGGGACCAGCACCAAGCUCACGGGCCUUAUCUGUAAGCUGCCUUAAAGCUGUUUUCCUCUGGGCAGGAGUUCCAUUUUUAACCUUCAACAACAGUUUCAUUAUCUUGCGUUCUUUCUGCUCGUCAGGAGACAGCUCUUCUUCGUUCUCCUCAUUCAACAGAGCUCCGAAGUACUGAUAAUCCUCAGGUUUCAUAAACGGCAACCCACCAGGAACUUCCGGGGGCACAUCAUACUGCUGCCCACGGACUUCCUCCGGAAUAAUGUAGCCCGGAGUAGCCAUAGGUGUCGGGGUUCCUACAGCCUUCUUAGCAGGCGUCCGGAUGGGAACAUAAGAAGCAGGCGGAUCCAAAACCUUGUACCCUUCGGUAGGAAACAUGGCAUCAAGCUCUUCAUCACUCAAUGGUCUGUUUCUCUCUUCGAUAUCCCUCUCCCACCUCUGCAAAUUGUACUGCUCAGGGGUCAUAACACCACGCAGAUUAAGCUGGCCCGGAGUUGGUGUAGCCAUAUCGAUCCCACCGACUGGAGUGACACCAGGAGUGUAAGCACCAGCAGGAGUCACUCCGCCCAUAGGUGUAGCACUUCCCAUAGUGGCUGGUGUCUCGUCCCACCUUGAACGUUGACGCUUUGGGGUAGGCGUUGCAAGCCCUUUCGGAGUCGCGUCCCAUGUAACGCCUGAAGGGGUUGCACCGGGAGUAACACCACCACCUGGUGUUGCAUCAGAAUCAGUAACACGACCAGGUGUAGGAGUUUCGUCCCACCUGUUCCUUCGUCCAACAGAUGGUGUUGCAUCAGAAACUCUCCCUGGAGUUGCAUCCCACCGCCCAAUCCCUGGAGCUGCAUCAGGUAAAUCCCAAUCCGAAGUUGACGAUUUAGACUUCUUUGCAGCAGCACCGUCCUCUUCGGAGAGGUCCCACCUCUGUCUCCUCCUGGAAGAAGAAGAAGAUGAAGAAGAAGGAGGAGGAGGAGCAGAAUCUUUCUGUCCCUUUGCAGCUUCUUCUUCCUCUUUCUUUUUCUUAGCGAUGAGCCUCAUAGUUUCCUCUCUCUCCCUCUGCAAAGCCGUCUCCCUCAUAUGGUCCGUGUAAGUCCGAACACUCGGAUCCGGCGUCUUCUCGCCCAUAGAAAAAGGGUCAACUCUAUCCGGAGAGAGAACUCGAUUGAGUCUCCUGUUCCUAUAAUCACCCUCGCGUUCCGCAAUAGUCUGCCUAGGCUUGAAUCCGCCAUCGUCAUCUUCGCUGUGAGCACGAGCUACGUCAUUGAGAAUCGACCUAGGAGCGGUGUAAGAAGCAAGACGCUGAGCCACGAGCGAACCAGUGGUGUCCAGAUUCGGAUCCUCCUCAUCGUUGGGUGCUAUAGAUGUCAAGUAGGAAUCACGGUCGUUAUCUCCGUACAGAUCGCGAUCGAAAUUUAAAGAAGUGAGAGAAGCGAGGUCUGCUUCCAUCUUCCGUCUCUCCUCUUGAAUUUUGGCGAUCUCUGGAUCUAGAUCCGCCAUUAUCGAUACUCAACGAAGCUGUUUCCAACACACACACACACAAAAAGGAACUGAGAUAUUGGGAAAACAGUAAAUCAGAAAACGAAUCGAGAUCAUAAUACAACUAGAUCAAAGAAAAAGCAAUCAAGGUAACGAGAAUAACUCACCGAUUAUCGGAUAUGACCUGCGAAUGAAUGUGGAGAAGCAAAAUGAGAGAACUAGGGUUUAUCCAGAUAAAUCCAGGAGAAAAAGAAAAAAAAAUUAUAUAUACCGAGUCGGUUCUUAAGAUCGAGUCAGAUCUUAAUUUGGGCUCGUGAACUAUUUUUAUCUAUUGGGUUCAUUUACAGAAAAAAAAAAAGCCCAAAGCGCCAAUACAAAGCCGACAAUAUCUGUAUAUAGCCAUGUAAGCAUUACAUCCACUUGAGGCAAUGAAAUAUUGUAUAUUUUUUGGUAGAUAGGCAAAAAAUGUCAUACUUUAAAACUAUACACGUAUUGUUUUGCAAGAAAUGACUGAAAUUGUCGACACAUGCUUUGACUAAUUUGUAAGUCCUAAUGAUUGGCUCAGGCCUCAGUUGAUAGUAUACAACUACGAGAACAUUCAAACUUUAGCAGCAUGCUUACACAUCUAAACUUUUUGAGUACUGCUUAAAUUCAUAAACUUUUGUUCAACGAAGUAAAUAAUUACAUAAUUCCACCAUUUUGCUACUUUAAAUUUACAACCACUGCACCCAUAUGUAGUAUGUAUUCAUAAAACUAAAAAAAAUAACUAAGGUGAGUGUAUACUUACAAAAACAUAGGCACCCAACACAGCUGCUAGUAGGCUACUAGUUUUUAAUUUUGAAAUUGAGUUCGAUCAUAUAGAAAAAAAAUAAAGAAAGCCAAUAUGCAUGCUAUAUGCUAGGUGUACCAUUCUAUAAAGUAAUUAAAUUAACAAUAUCCCGUAACAUUUCCAUUUAGAUUUUAUAAGUUACUCAUAAGUGUUUAUAUUUUAGUAAUGACAAAAAAUUAUAUUUUCACAAGACAAAAAAACAUAUUAACACAACACCCUUGUUGAAAAAGUGCAUGCUUUCGUAAGUUUCCCCAACAGCCACACUAUCUUACACUGUUCGCCUUUCUUAUUUAGUACACAGCCAGUUUUGUUUAAAAAACUUUAUGAGUCGUACCCCUUUAAUAAAGAGGCUUUAUUUAGACAUUAUCCUUACUCACUAGCUUGUUUUUUAAAACUACUGAUAUAGCCGAAAGUCCGGAUCCACUACAGCUUAAUCAAUUUCGUAGUAGAUAUACUAUACUAGUGAUACGAACUAUUCGAUAAAAAAACUACAUAAAUAAUUCUAAUACAGUAAUAUAAAAUUGAAAGUAAUAUAGAGAGGCCUUCGUGAUACUUAAAUGUUACAAACUUUCCUUUGGAGCAAAGAACGGAAGCAAUGGAGGACUUCACCAAAACCCACCGACCCUGUUCAGGAGAUACUGCAUAGCUAAACUACUAUAUUGACAUUUGUAUCAGGACUCCAAUCGAGUACCUUUUCACGCGAUAUUAAGAAAUUUUUACUACCCCAUUUUGUAGCUGUUGUUUUCUUUAAAGGUUUUUUUUUUCUCGAUAGCUCUUGCUUAACUUUUUUUUUCUCGAUAACCCUUACUUAACUUACCCCUACAGUUUAAUUCCAAAGGAACUUUUAAUCAUACUUAAUACAAAUAAUGGAAGACUUGUAAUUGCUUAUAUUAUCUUAAUAUGCAUAGAAAAUAAUAAAGCUUAUAAUAGUAUGAAACGAGUAUCUUACUAAGCAAUUAAUUUGGUCUCCUAGGCCCCAACAACACUGAGAGCAGCCUGCUUUAUACUCCCAUCUUCCUUUGUAUUGUUAUCCACUUUAUCAUCGAUCGAAUUAAAUUAAAUACACAGAUAACAUUAUUGUCUUCUACCCACUAAUACUAAAAAAGUCAGGUUGCUUUAAAUAAAAUAAUUAGUGAUAUAGGCUUCGAUCAUUAUGUUAACGGAGUGUAUUUAAUUGAAUAACGUAGCAACCAAACAAAAAGAUUUUAUUAUUAUAUUUAUAGGCAUAUAUUUUCCACAUUGGGAGCCCAACAUAAUUUACACGUCAUCACAAGAAAACGACAAAAGCAAAGAGCGCUAUCCACAAUCCAAACCCGAGAUCCAAACCCGAAAGAUUUGUCUCUACACGCGCGUGCAACUUGUGUUGUUGACUACAGAUGUUAUCUAGAUCUCGUCAAUCGUUAUCGAUAUAUUGCCACGUGUCUUACUCACCUCCCUUGGAUUAAAUCAGGGUCUUGCACGUUGAGGUCUGUGGAUCCCACAUCGCCGGCAAGAGAUAUUUCCUACCGCCGAGUCCACGAGCGUUGUAACUAGACCCGGUUGUUUUGUCGACGAGGACAUGACCCGCGUAACCCGGAUAAGAACCCGACCCGAAUAUGCCAGGACAAGCGGAAACAGCUUCAAGCGGCGCAGUUGGUGGGCCCUGGUAAUAUCCGUUUUUAAACGGAUUCGUGACGGUGUUAGCGAGAAGUGUAGCGAGGUUUAUGAUCAUUCCGUCAACUCCAACGUCACCGUUAGGCGCAACUAACGGCGGCGUUUGUGGUCCGUAAAUCGGCUGGUGAAACGGCCAGGCGCAAUAUCCCGGGCACUGCGUCUCGGAGUUUCCGACCCAUAUGUAAGCGGCGCCGUUGGCCGCGCGACGCGAUUUCGAGCCGGAGGAUCCGUGGGUCCCACAUCGGUUCAUACAGAACCCCUCGACGGUAACGUCUUUGGCCGUUAAAACGACAGUUAUGGAACGGAGUCCGCCGUUAAGCUUGGUGGAUAAAGCACGGAGGUAAGGAUUUUUAAGGGAUUUUCCGAGAGGAUAUUUCUCGAGGAGAAGCUGUUUUCCGACAACGAGCGUUGAGGAUCCGCCUUUGUAUUUCUCCGUCGUCUUCCACCACGACGCGACGGAAGGAACAGCGGAGGUUGCGGCGUCUUUGGAGUUGAGCGAGCGGAUGAAGUCGACGAUUACGGACCGUUGGAUGGGUGUGAAUUUUCCGUACCAAACGAGAUUGACUGUGAUAUUUCCUUUCAAGAGAACGCCGUUGUGGUACUUGAGAAUUAGCGGCUGCUCCUUGACCAACGCGGCGGUGGAAAGACCGGCGGUGGCGAAGAGCAAAGUGAGAAAGAUAGCAAAACGGUAAUUACAAGCCAUUAAGAGGGCAAAGAAGAUAUUGAAGAGAUAACAGAGGUUUUGUUUGGGGGUUUAUAGGAUACUGGUAUAGUGUGUGAUAUGAGAGUUAUUUAUACCAAAGUUUCUUUUUUUUUCAUUUUUGUGAAAUGGGAGACGAGUGCGACAGCUGUAUUAGCAAAGGUGUUAACGUCAAAUACUACCACGUGGACGGAUUUGAAUGGUAGAUAAGGGUAUUUUGACAGCCUGUGAGGUUCUUGACGUGGUAGUCUCCAUAACGUGUAUUAAAUUUAAAGGCUUUAGCCGAUUAAUUUGUUAUUACAAAAAGCUGUUUUUAGUUUGGAUUCGGAGAAAUGGGCAAAUAACAUCUCCAUGCGCAGUUGCAUAAGAUUUGUAAUACAUUCCCCAAACAUAAAAUUAGAAACAAAAGAUAUAUACAUAUACAUAAUGCAUAUAUACAUUGAUUUUCAGAUAAAGAAAGACUGAAUUACUAAGAUAGUUUUUUUGAGCUGUCAUUUAUAAUUAACUAUUAGAACUUUAUAAAUACACCGAGUUUAAUUUAAAUGCAAAAUUCCCAUUCUAGAUUUAAAUGAAAAAAGUUCGUUAUAAAAUACAACUAAAAUCUAUUAAAUUGUGAUUAUUAAUUUGAUCAACUGAUUAUUUUUAAAAUAAACAAAAAAAUAGUGGUUGUAGUCGAUCUGAUUUGAAAUACCACGAUACAUUCAACACGCAUAUAGUCAAAAACCAGCUUUAAGUUUUAAGAGAUGGGCCGUAGAAAAUAACAUUCUCUUCACUCCCUUUUUUCAGAAAAAAAAAAAAUUAAACAACGCUAAAAUCAUUUUUAUGUACUGUAUCAUUUUUCUAAUCGUUAUGUUUUGACGUUUUGAAACUGAAUGAAGAAUAAAUCUCAUAUAGUCCUACUAUAUUUCUGCAUAAUAGUGUAUACUGGUAUGCCCCCCCAAAAAAAAUGUUAACCAGCUAACAAUUUAAAGCUUCUUUUUCUGUUCAUCUAUUUUGCUGACUCCUCAGCAUCAUGAGGCACGAGCGUGUAACUUGUGCAUACUCUAUACGCAAAUACAUUGAACAGUAAUUAAUUGGCCGUUCUAGAAGAAGUCAUUACGCGUUUCAAUAUUCGAUUAAAAAAAAUAGUUUAUAUGAUAGUAUUUGUAAGAUAAAACAAAUUCAUCAUAUAGGGGGGAUUUAUUUAGGGGAGGUUCCCUUUGUACUUGAAGGAUUUUGAGAUAAACAAAGUAAUUGAUACCGUGUGAUGAUCGUCUUACUUUUGGGAGGUCCCUACCUUCGUUUUCUGUGGGUACCACAAAGCCAUACGUAUUUACUUACGAACAGUGUACAAUUAUAUGAAUAGCUAGGUGUACGUAUGGAUAUAUACGGAGCACUUGAGUAGUUUAGUCGUGUUUAGCAAGGCAAGGUACGGCUCUACGAGACUACGAUGCGUACGAACCACGUCCUUACAGUCCAUUAUUGCCUUUUACAUCUGUAGGGCCCACUCCUCCCUUGUUUCUUUGUCCUUUACCUUUUACUUUAUUUUGAAAAACUCUCUUCUUCUUUAAUAUUUUUUUAAAAAAAUUCAUCGAAAUUUAUUUAACAAAAACCUGAAAUCUGGUAUACUGUCUACAGAAAUUAUUUGGUUUUGUGUGUUACAGAAAUUAUUUAUAGUGGGUGGGAUGCAAGAAAACUAAUAUAUAUAUAUAUAUAUAUAUAAAUUAUAUGUAUAAAUAUAUUCCGCACACCAGAAAACACACGUUUCUUUCUUUUUUUUACUAUUACAAUAUUUUUGGCAUAAUUAAAGAAGAUAGUGGAGCUGAAAAGAAUGUGGGUAGAUAACUAGGGUAAAUUCACCUCCGUUAAAUGAAUUUUGAUUUCUGUUGAAAGUGAUCUACGAUGUAGCUGAAUUUUGUGGAUCAUGUGUAAGUGUGGGUACUUGUUAUUAAAACUCAAAAGAAAGUAAGAAAAAAUAAGCUACUUACGUCACGUGUCAGAAGUUCCACAGAGUAAUAGGAUUCGAAGCAAUCCACUUAUCUCUGCGCCUCUGCCUCUACGAUUUAAUUUGGACACGUGAAAAAACUUUCAUCCUUCUCUAGUUAUGUACGUGAAGAAAAGUAUGAAGAGUAGACUGUAAAGGCAAUUAAUAUGGUUGCGAUAUUUUACCAUAAGUUAUAAAAAUUGAAUAAAAUUAUGGCCAACUUGACAUUUAAAUUAACAACUUUUAGUUAAAAGAAAAAACUAAUUUGCAUACGGUAUUUGUACUAAUUAUAACGGUCGAUCGUUCAUUUUUUGGGGACAUCAGUCCGAAGCCAAGUACGCACGUGCAUGGCAAAUGAAACAAGUACGUUCGGUAACAGCAAAAUCGAUGGUAGAACUACAAACGAAAGCUAUGCUUAAAAAUAUUACUUUUUUUUGUGUGCACAAGGUGUGACAAUUAAAAGAAAAAGAAAGGUAUCUUUAAAAUUCAUUAGUAACUGGGAUCGUAUACCAAUAAUACAUAUAAUAGGAGUAUAGGACUUUAAAUUCGAGAGUGGUUAUGUUUUCGUCACUUUAAUAAAAAGUCGAGCUGAAUAUAUUACAUAUUCAAAAAAAAUUGUGGCCGACGAUCCAAAUUUACAAAGGGGCCAGUACAUUACUUGCGGAUGGCAAAUGAGAGAAGAAGAAAUACUUACUCCAAUAAUAAAGAGGAGUCAAAGAAAAGGCAAAGGAGUCUCACGUGCGGAUGUGAUAUUGCGUAGUCGGCACGGAAAGCGACAAACAAAAAAAACAUCGUGUGAAAAAGGAGAGUGGAAAUCACGCGCUAUCCGUACUAGCCUUUUUUAUCCACGACUGUCUUUUCAUAUCUUGCCACGCGCGCAUUUCUUUUUUUUUUUUCUCACCACGAUUUAUGUUAUACUUAUUGAUGCUGUCCUAAUAUUUUUUUAUUUUUUAUUUUUUUAUCAAUGACAUUUCUCUCAGUAGGCCGUCUCAAUUCUAUACGUGACCUUAUUAGCCCACUGACUCAUUUAUUGUGGUUUGCUAUACCUUGUCAGAUCAACUAAAAAAAAAGGUCUUAAAAUUCUUGAAAUUGGAAAUAAUUUAGACCCGAUUGCCUGUAGAAUAUAGUACUUAUAGUAUUGAAAGUUACAUAGAAAGUAUAAAAUAAUAAAAUUACAACAUCAAAAAAUAUUACAACCAAUCACAUCAAUAAAAAAAUAUUCUAUGAUAUUUCCCAUAUUUUGUUUUUAGGUGACAAGGGAAAAAAAUAUCCAUCGGGAAACAAGAUUAAUAAGUGGUUUACAAAACAACUUAAGGUAUUGAAAUGAAUGUUUUACGGAGGGAACCAUCAUCAAUACGAACAUAUAAAAUAAUUGUAAGUCGUAACUAUUGUGGUUUCGUCUGAUUAGCCAUGUGUAAUUAAUUUUGUUAUAAGCCAAGAAAAUUAUGGUAUCAGAGCCAUGGUGAGAGAGCCAGUACUUGUUCGUAAUUCCGAAUUGAUACUUGCAAACAAUUCGUUCGUCAGAAAAUUACAAACGAAUCUUUUAUAAGAACUUUAUCUUUUGGAUGUCUACUGCUGAAAUCAAUUAUUUACUUGUUCGUACGGCAAUGGCAUGCACAAAUAUGAAAAUGACAAACCAAUAAUUAAGCAUAAUAAUUUCAAAACUGAAUUUGGAUUUAUUUCAGCAAUUUCAAAAGAAAAAGGUAUAAUUUUGUUAUCUUUCAUAACACUCUACAAGGAGGCGUAUAAAAACAUAAUUCUAUGAUAGUGAUAGUCUUCGUAAAUAAUUGCUAUUAACUGUCCAUAUUGAGGCGGACGUUCGCCACACAAAUUAUAUAUAUAAUAUAAUUUCCUAUACUAGGAAAGGAAAUGAAUUUACAAACAGAAAAUAAAUACAUAAUAUAAAAUAUCGAAAGUAAUUUAAUUAGCAUUACUUAGCCUUUUAAUCAAACAGAUCUUGUGACGAACUUCGAGGUUAUCGUGCCGUGAAUUGGACCAUAUCUUAUCCACCCCAAGACUUAAGAGUCCACUUUCUUUUGAAUAUUCCCCAUCUACUGUGACGGGACUUGCAAAUUUUGUGGCAAUAAUCGAUCAAAAAUUCCCAGUGUGGCGUCAGCUAUCUGAGCAACAUAACGGGCCUUUAUAAUUGAAGCCCAUGAUCUAUAUUAAAACCCAAGCAUGAUUAGUCUAGUAUCUUAACAGUCUUUUUUUCCCUCCUUAAUGGGUGAUUUGAGAAGUAAAUGAAUCAGUUAUACUGAUUUGACAAAUUCUGGAGGGAUUCAAUCGAUUUACAAGAGAAUUGUUUGAUCACCGUCUCUCAGAUGUUGUGUAGCAGAAGAGCUUUGUUUCCCUCGAUUUCAGGAAGAAUUUUUGUAGCUCAACCCAUAAAUCGAUUCCGCCAUGUUCUGAUAGUUGUUGGUGCAUUGACUUGAGUUAGAGAAAAUCGAGAUAAACGAAGAAUGCCAUAGUAAUUUUCUUGAGGAGAAAUGGUGGAGUUAUGGCAUCGAUGAAUCAACCGUGAUGUAGUAUGUGACGAAAGCUUCGCUUAGAAAAUCGAAAUAAAUCUAUAAAAAUAAUGGAGAAGAAGGCGAAGGAAAUUUCGAAUACGGCUCUGGUGUUUUUAGCGUUAUAUAAGACUUUUCUUUUUCUGCUGGAGAGGAAUAUAAUAACAACACCAAGAGAUAAGCAGAGGAAGUGAAAUUAUGGGUUUGAAGGGGAUUUUAGGUUUCGAAUACGGAAUAGUUCAGGCGCCGUUAGGGCCAGAUAUCUCCGGACCAGAGCUUGUAGCCGCCGUCGCUAAUGCCGGAGGGAUCGGUCUUCUCAGAUGUCCUGAUUGGGUAAUUGCAACACUCUUUUUGUUUUUUUCUCUCCUGUAUGAUUCGAUCAUUUCACGGUCUUCGUAUUGUUCAAUUUUUCGAUGAUUUGAAUCAAUCAGGAGUGUCCUGAUUACUUGAGAGAGCUUAUAAGGAAGACAAAGACAUUGACAGACAAACCAUUUGGGAUCGGUGUUGUUCUUGCGUUUCCUCAUGAGCUGAACAUAAAGGCAAUCUUAGAAGAGAAGGUCGCUGUGUUGCAGCUUUAUUGGGGUGAAUGUUCAAAGGAGCUUGUGGAUGAUGCUCACCGUGCCGGAGUCAAAGUUGUUCCUCAGGUAAAGUUUUCCACUAAAUUUGCAGAGAUUCAUGGGCCUAAGUUAUAAAGAGUUUGGUUUCUUGAUUUGAUUUAUCAGCAGGUUCACCUAUACCCCUUAGUUAUAUAUUAUUACGAGGAUUUUGUCUUAUUUCUUAGUGAUUUGCGUAGGUGGGGAGUGUGGAAGAAGCUAGAAAGGCCGUUGCUGUAGGAGUAGACGCCAUUAUCGUCCAAGGGAAUGAAGCAGGAGGGCAUGUAAUUGGCAAGGUAAGCCUAAUUGUUACCUGUAUAAUCCUUAGUUUAAAUGUUUGAUACAUCAAAAAAGUUUAUUUUCUUUUCUUUCAAGGAUGCUCUAUUUUCGUUGUUGCCAAGAGUGGUUGAUUUGGUUGGGGAAUGCGGUAUUCCUGUCAUCGCUGCUGGAGGAAUCGUGGAUGCACGUGGUUAUGUUGCAGCCUUGUCACUUGGUGCUCAAGGGGUUAGUCUAGGCACAAGGUGUGCUCUUCCUUCCACAUGUUCUCAAGUUUGACUGCUUGAAUGAGUUUUUGUCGGGGCUGAGCUUUGUUUUCUUAGGUUUGUGGCGACUCAUGAGAGCUACGCACACCCUAUAUACAAGAGGAUGUUGGUGGAAUAUGAAAAAACCGAAUACACAGAUAUCUUUGGAAGAGCAAGGUGGCCUGGUGCGCCACAACGUGUUCUGGAGACACCAUUCUUCGACGACUGGAGAUCCCUCUCGGCUGAUGAGAAUGAAGUUAACCAGCCUAUUAUUGGACGUUCCACCAUACAUGGCGUCGUAAGUUUCAUUUUCAUAUAUAAAGUCCAAUUUCCUCCAAAUAUUGUGGUCUCGCACUGAUGAAUAAGGGAAGCUCACUGCAGGAAAAGGAGAUAAGAAGAUUUGCAGGAACAGUACCAAACAUGACAACGACGGGGGACUUGGAGAGUAUGGCGAUGUAUGCAGGCCAAAGCGUAGGCCUCAUCAAAGAGAUUUUACCGGCUGGAGAGGUAGUGAAAAAUCUUGUGGAAGCAGCUCAGCUUCUGAUCCUCCAAAAGUUCAAAAAUGCUACAUGAUGCCCUCAAAUCAUGAUUAAAAAAAAAAACUUUACUGCUUUUUUGGAAUUGAUAUGAGAUUAGUCUCAUCAAAUAUAAUAAGGUACCCCUUCCGGAUAUCUUUUGUAAAAAGUUGUUUUCAUCAUGUGUAUUACUCGUUAUGGUAUUGAAUCAUCAUGUCUGUUGCGAUUACGGUUUUAUCCACACAGCUUGAUUUCGUAUAGAGUUUCUAAGUGAAUCCCUGAUCAGUUAUGCCCGUGAGGCGUGACCUUAUAAUGUUCAAGGAAACCUCAUGCUUGCUGCCUUCAUAUGUUCAUAGCUUUUGUCUAUCAAAAGUUACAUUUCGGUUUAUAAGUAGGUGUGUAUAUGUGUAAAACGUUCCCGAAUCAUAACAGGCAACUUGGUACUCCUAAUAUACACAUUAUCCUUCUAGAUAAAAAAAAAAGCAAGAAGAAGAGUGACUCCGAUUCUUCCCAUAUUUUAAGCAAACAUAUGUUUAUGAUAAAUUAUUCAAGCACAACACAUUUAAAAACCAAUCUACUUAACAAUCCAAAUAACUUAGUCCAGCAUUGAUAGAUAGGUAAAUUAUCUUUCGAAUGGAUCUUGUCUUGUGCAGACGACGACGAGUCAAGCAACCACCACCACCGCCACGGUUACUUCAUCGAUUCUCGUGCAGUUUCUACAUCGCUCGAGUGCUGAUUUGCCACUUGAUGAUCCUCACAGGUAGCUAGAGAUGAAGAGAUUUGAUUUGCAAGUCCGGUCGGAUUUAACUUGAUCCUUUUAUUCUCUGCAAAACCCUUAAUAAACUGAUUUUGACCCUUGAGACUCAAGCAUCCCGUAUCCUCAUUAGCAACGACGAGACUAGGGUUUUUUGGUAUAAUUUCUGAACUCUGAGUCUGACCCACGAGCAUGAAGCAUCCCGUAUCCUCAUCGAAGGAUCUUCUAACUAUAGCAAUGCGAUCAGAAUCCUUACCAAGCUCAGCCUUGUACAAGUCAUUGUACCUUAUGUAGAUAAUUGCAUUUUUGGCAUUGAGUGCGUCAUCUAUGGCCACUUUCACAAUCUCCAACUUGUUGGAGAGACCACAGUCCCUACCGGUGGUGGUGGCAACAGCAAGUUCCAAAUAUAGACGAAUCCAGUCAUUGUCUUGCAGCUCUGAUUCCUUCACCUUUGACCAAAAAGGCAAAACAUAUAUCACCACUACAUUGUAUGUUGAUCAAAUGAUGCCAAUUGUGUGUCUGAAUCUGAAUCUUACCAGGUAACAUUUUUCAAAAGGAUUCUCUGGCGGCCACUCAGGCAAGCUAGUACCCAUAUACAUGACUCUUUUGCUAUGGCUUGUUUCCCCUUAAUACAAAUAUUAUUAAAUCAGCAAUUAAGUUGAGAUAGAUGAUUUCGUUGUAUACAAAGGAAAAAUAAUUGAAAAGAUAUUUCACCUCGGAUUCUUGCAAUCUUGCACGUCAGAAUAAAUUUACCACCCUCUUCUUCUGAUACUCUAGUCUGAAAAGUUUGAAGCGAAGAGCCAGCAGCUAUUGCAUCCAAUGUUAUGUAGUAAGAGCCAACAGGAGAACCUAUUGAGAGAAUGUAUUUCUUUACGCGAAUGAGUUGAAACUUUGUACCCUGAAAUCAGGAAGAGAGAUAUUGAUUGUAGAAGCAUAGUAUACAGAGCAUGUGGAUAAUAAAUAAAAAAACAAAGAGUUUUAGACCUGCAGCAAAUUAUAACGAUGAAGGCCCAUCUUAGCAUACAGGAGGACUUUGCCAGGACAAGGAAACCAUUUAUUACAGAUCCUUUCCUGUAGUCCGAGCGUAAAAUCACAACCCUUGAGAUCGAACACCUAUUAGCAGACGCAAAUAAUCAGAGCUAACAAAUCACGAUUUUAAAGGAUCAAUCUCUUAAAAAUAAGGAAAACGAAAGACUUACACCGCAUUUCUCCAGUCGUUUACGAGAGGCGUCAAGCGCAUCACAAUAACUCUUACCAUCCCGAAAUUCAGAGAUCAUAUUAUCAAGCGAUUUAGGUUUAGGUUUGACGAUUUAGGGCGAUGAUGAUUUUUGGUCGAUUAGGUUCUCACUCGUCCCCUUAUCUAUCCGGCCGACUCAUUUAAUGGGCUUCAGUUGGGCCUUCACAACCCAAUAUCUCACUCAUUUUGAGUGUAAUUCAUGCUCUAAAACUAUGUCUAUCAGUGAACAAAGACGGGUUCAUCAAAAUAUAAUAUUAUUUUUUUUGUUUUUUUUUAAAUUCGAAAAUUAUUAUUUUGGACCAAUUAGGAUGUAUCACGUGUAAAAAGACUGUCUCUCCAGGUUCGUCGAGAAGAACCCGGAUCAUGAACCUUUACCAUUUUUCUUAUCUUUUUAUUGUAUUUCGUUUUAAAAUCUCUGCCACAAACUCUUCAAGAACUCCUGAUGGACAUGCUCUAAGUAUGAUGAUGCAGCAUAAUAGAUAAUAUAGUAGAUAAUGGUGUUUAGGUUUUGACCACAUAUAUUGAGUUUAGGAACCUUUUUAAUGCCAACUCUUCCAAGAUGAACACGUAUUUUUAGUAUAUUAACUACACAAAAUAUUUUUAUCUUCAUUUUCAUUUAUAAGAUUAGUGUAUUAAAGUUUCUUGUCGAAUUCCUCAAUCUUGAGUUCAUCUUUUUGUUACCGUCUUAGAUCGCUUAUAGUAUAGGCUUUAUAAUAGACCCAAGAGAUCGCUUAUAAUAUAGGCUUUAUAAUAGACCCAUAUACAUAAUGGACUCUUCAACAGGCCUUAAACCUCACUGGAUGCGAGCAUCAUAUCACUCUUUGUUUUUGUUUUCCUGUAUGAUUCGAUCAUUUCACAGUCAUCGUAUUGUUCAGUUUUGUUGGGUGAAAAUUCCCACACUGAUUUUAUUAAUAUUUUUUGAUGAUUUGAAUUAAUCAAGAGUGUCCUAAUUACUUGAGAGAGCUAAUAAAGAAAAAGACAUUGACAGACAAAUCAUUUGGGAUCGGUGUUGUUCUUGCGUUUCCACAUGACCAGAACAUAAAGGCAAUCUUAGAAGAGAAGGUCGAUGUGUUGCAGCUUUAUUGGGGUGAAUGUUCAAAGGAGCUUGGAAUCAUCUAUGAAUCAAGUGAAGGUGCAGCAGCGAUUCCAGCAGAUCCAAGUUUAAGGAUCUUGAGGAGUGUUCCAUAACAAGGGUUUAGCAAUUCGGGGUCUAAAGACAGACAUAAAGAAGAAGCGUGAGAGAAUUAUGGCAGUGUCACUUUAUAGCCUUAAAACCGUGACUUAACAUAGAAGAUGAUGCAAGGAGACACAGGAAUGUGAUUCACCUCUUACCAUACGUCCAUAACAGGCAACUUAGUACUCCUACUAUACACAUUAUCCUUCUAGAUAAAAAAAAAAAGCAAGAAGAAGAGUGACUCCGAUUCUUCCCAUAUUUUAAGCAAACAUAUGUUUAUGAUUAAUUAUUCAAGCACAACACAUUUAAAAACCAAUCUACUUAACAAUCCAAAUAACUUAGUCCAGCAUUGAUAGAUAGGUAAAUUAUCUUUCGAAUGGAUCUUGUCUUGUGCAGACGACGACGAGUCAAGCAACCACCACCACCGCCACGGUUACUUCAUCGAUUCUCAUGCAGUUUCUACAUCGCUCGAGUGCUGAUUUGCCACUUGAUGAUCCUCACAGGUAGCUAGAGAUGAAGAGAUUUGAUUUGCAAGUCCGGUCGGAUUUAACUUGAUCCUUUUAUUCUCUGCAAAACCCUUAAUAAACUGAUUUUGACCCUUGAGACUCAAGCAUCCCGUAUCCUCAUUAGCAACGACGAGACUAGGGUUUUUUGGUAUAAUUUCUGAACUCUGAGUCUGACCCACGAGCAUGAAGCAUCCCGUAUCCUCAUCGAAGGAUCUUCUAACUAUAGCAAUGCGAUCAGAAUCCUUACCAAGCUCAGCCUUGUACAAGUCAUUGUACCUUAUGUAGAUAAUUGCAUUUUUGGCAUUGAGUGCGUCAUCUAUGGCCACUUUCACAAUCUCCAACUUGUUGGAGAGACCACAGUCCCUACCGGUGGUGGUGGCAACAGCAAGUUCCAAAUAUAGACGAAUCCAGUCAUUGUCUUGCAGCUC
rnacentral:lncRNA from 1 species